AGACUAAGGGUCUCCUCUGCCGCCCAGGCUGGUGUGCAGUGGCGCGAUCUCGGCUCCCUGCAUCCCCGAACUCCAGGGCUCAAGCGAUCCUCCAAAACGCGGGGAUUGCAGGAGCUUUUAUUUUCUAAUUCUCACGCCUCGAUCCAGCAACCUUGGCUGGGCGUGGGCUCCUUGAAAGGCGGCGGUGCAGGGCCCGAAGUCGGGCUGAUAAGGAAAACUGCCACCACUCCUCGCUUCCUGAGCGCCUCACUCUUUAGAGGGGAAACUGAGGCUCGGAUUCGAUCCGCCCCAGGGCGCUGCAACGCUGGAGGAGCCGAGAUUCGAAUCCGGGUUCUAAGACGCCGGCUGGCGCCCCGCCUGUGGCCCACUCGCGCCUCCAGGAAAUCCACUGUAGGCAUUGCGUUCGAAAGAGAAGCAGCCCUGCCCAGGCUUGGAGCAAUGCUGACGCGCAAAUCUGAACUCCCUCUCUGA
rnacentral:lncRNA from 1 species